ensembl:lncRNA
GUGGGACUGGGUGCGUCCUCCCUGCCAGGUCACAGUCAAGUGACGGUCCGGGAGAAGUAGUGUGGGACUGGGUGCGUCCUCCCUACCAGGUCACAGUCAAGUGACGGUCCGGGAGAAGUAGUGUGGGACUGGGUGCGUCCUCCCUGCCAGGUCACAGUCAAGUGACGGUCUGGGAGAAGUAGUGUGGGACUGGGUGCGUCCUCCCUACCAGGUCACAGUCAAGUGACGGUCCGGGAGAAGUAGUGUGGGACUGGGUGCGUCCUCCCUGCCAGGUCACAGUCAAGUGACGGUCCGGGAGAAGUAGUGUGGGACUGGGUGCGUCCUCCCUGCCAGGUCACAGUCAAGUGACGGUCUGGGAGAAGUAGUGUGGGACUGGGUGCGUCCUCCCUGCCAGGUCACAGUCAAGUGACGGUCCGGGAGAAGUAGUGUGGGACUGGGUGCGUCCUCCCUACCAGGUCACAGUCAAGUGACGGUCCGGGAGAAGUAGUGUGGGACUGGGUGCGUCCUCCCUGCCAGGUCACAGUCAAGUGACGGUCCGGGAGAAGUGUGCAACCCCUUCAGCACCAACAGCAGAGAACUUUUACACACCUCUUACACACCUCUUACGCUUUCCUAAACCACCU